GUAAGGAAUAUUGGACAAUGGGCGCAAGCCUGAUCCAGCCAUGCCGCGUGAGUGAUGAAGGCCUUAGGGUUGUAAAGCUCUUUCGUCAGGGAAGAUAAUGACGGUACCUGAAGAAGAAGCCCCGGCUAACUUCGUGCCAGCAGCCGCGGUAAUACGAAGGGGGCUAGCGUUGCUCGGAAUCACUGGGCGUAAAGCGCACGUAGGCGGCUUUCUAAGUCAGGGGUGAAAUCCUGGAGCUCAACUCCAGAACUGCCUUUGAUACUGGAGAGCUUGAGUUCGGGAGAGGUGAGUGGAACUGCGAGUGUAGAGGUGAAAGUCGUAGAUAUUCGCAAGAACACCAGUGGCGAAGGCGGCUCACUGGCCCGAUACUGACGCUGAGGUGCGAAAGCGUGGGGAGCAAACAGGAUUAGAAACCCGGGUAGUCC
rnacentral:rRNA from 1 species